GAAGCAGAUCCUGUACUUCCCAGGACCUGACUGACGACUCAGGACAGACCGAGGGACAGAGGGAUGACAGUCAGGGGCAAUCUGGGACCAAGAUUUUCUGCAGUGGAAAUUACUGGCUAAAUAAACCUAUCUCCUCAUUGACACAAAGCUAAGAAGAGAGAUCAGUUACAACAAAAAAAAGGAAAGAAAUGUGAUUAUUUCCUAAGUCGAGUGCUUGCCAACAGGAACAUCUGAAAGGUCAUCAGAAGAGGGAAACAAGUAUCUGUGCUGUGGAGGAGCCUGAUCAGAGGCCAUACUGCAGUCAAGAGGAUCUUCUCAACCCAAGAAGUGAUCCUGCAUCUUCUGCAUUGACAGGUGGGUUCUUUACCACUAAAGAAGCCACUGAAAGAAGCCCAAACAAAGCCUAACAGAACCUAAAAGAGUGUCUAGUUCAACCCAGGCAUAGAACCCAGGAAUCCUGCACUGCAGGCAGAUUCUUUACAGUCCAGCCACCAGAUAAGGAAACUGAGGCACAAAGGAGAUGAAAUAACUUGAACAAGAUUCAAAAUCUACUUCAGCUGAAACCUGAACCUUGAUCCAAGUUCAGACGCUGGAUGAUGAAGUUGAAGAAAUUAAACUCUUCUACACGUUUUCUUCCUUUUCCAGUUGGUUUUGGUCCCUAUAGCAUGGUGAUGUCCAGCUAAGCAUGCCCCUUCCAAAUGUAUUCAAUGAUAUUUGCUUGUGAGAACCUCAGUCACAAACACUACUCUCAUUGUCCCAGCAUAAUGCAAAGUCACUGUGGCUCUGGGCAGCAGAGGCUGUGAGUUCCUUUUCAGCUUCAUUAACUAACCUUGAGGAGGCUGGGAUGGGGGAAACGCUAAAACCCAGUUCUCCCAGCCAGCAGCCAGCCUGGCCAGCGGACAGAGGUGGAAUGUGACCAAGGUAUGUCUUGGUUGAUGGUUCACCCCUGGAUGAGGUAGUCCCUGAAAGUUGAUCUUUGGGGAUUUCAAAUCUGUUGAUGAAAACGGGAAUAAAGGAGGGACCUUGAUAAAAAUGUUGAGGUAUGCAGGCAGGAAAUGAUGGCAAAAUUCUCCCCACCCCUAUCAAAGAAAAUGGCUUUAGGAAGUUGAGUCUCUACCCCUGUUCCUGUCUCCCCCUUAUAAAUCUACCCCUAAAUCAUCUUCAGGGAAUUGGACCGGUUGCUUUCUCCCUGGCAAUAACAGGGAAUUCCAACUGCAAGCCAAUUAGAAUACACCCAGAGCUGCCAGUAAAAUCUUUCACUGACUUCACUUUAUUGGUUUCAUAAAACAAGAGAAAGAAAUCAGAGAUAGUCCAGAGCCUCACGGAGAUGCAAGUGUCUUUAUGAAGCAGACUGAAGCCUGCCUCCAUGGGCUCCCCAUUCCACAUCCUUCCUCCACCCAGAUGUUUUUAGCUGCUGCCACCUGCCCACGAUCCUGUGGUGUUAGGACACCAGCUCACAGAUCCGAGCUGUAUAGUCCUUACUUCCCUGGAUAUUUGAUCGA
ensembl:lncRNA